GGUAAAAAAGGUUAUUGAAGUUUAUUAAAUUUAUUGAAGUGUGAGAAAAAUAAUUGGUGUUUUAUUAUAGGAAUAGAAAAAAGUUGCGAUUGUGGGUUUAUUUAAUGAGAGUGAAAUAGUAUUGUGAGAGAAUUCUUAGAGUCAGGAAAAAGAAAAAUUUUAUUUUUGUACCUUGUGUAUCAGGGUUUGUUAAUUAAAGCUUAAUUAUUUAAGUUUCUCGAAUUUAGAAGAGCUAUAAGUUUAAUUUUGUUAAUGUGUCAAAAUUAAAUAUAAUAGGUUUAUAGAGGUGAAAUGUUACUCGAUUUUAAGUAUAUCUAGUUUCUUAAGAAAAAAAUUUAAUUUUGUUUUUAUGUACUAUGGGAAUAUAUAUAUAUUUAUGUGUAUAGUAGUAGGAUUAUAUAUUUGGAGGGAUGAGCUUUUAGAUAUACUUAUAUAAGAAGAAUAAGAAUUAUUUAAAGUAGGAUUGGAAGUUUCUAUCUUUAGAAGUGUGUUUUAACAGAGAAAAAAGGAAAGAAAAAUUUUUAGUUUGUUUAUUUAUUUUAUUAAGACUUAAUUUGAAAUAAUUUAGAUUUAGAGAUAAUGAUAAAAUUAGUAUAAUGAAGAUGUGGGAAUAGAUGACGAAGGGAAAGGUCUUGGAAAGGAACUCGGCAAAAAUUUUUCCCACCUGUUUAAUAAAAACAUGUCCUAUUGAUUUUUAUUUUAGGUUUGGCCUGCUCAAUGAUAGUUUAAAUGGCCGCGGUAUAUUGACCGUGCAAAGGUAGCAUAAUCAUUAGUUUUUUUAUUGGAAGCUAGAAUGAAAGGUUUGAUGAGGAAAAUUCUGUCUCUUUGAGAUUUUAUUAGAAUUUUAUUUUUAAGUUAAAAAGCUUAAAUUUGAAUGGAAGACGAGAAGACCCUAUAGAGUUUAAUGCUGAUAAGGGUUAAAUUUGCUAGGUUUGAAAGUAAAAAUUUAAUUUUUAAUGCAUUUUGUUGGGGAGACAGAAAAAUUUAAUUAACUUUAUUUGUGAUUAUUAAACACUUAUUUGUGGGAACAAAGAUCCUUUAAUUAAGAUUAUAAGAAUAAAUUACCUUAGGGAUAACAGCGUAAUUUUUUAUAGAGUUCAAAUUGAAUAAAAAGUUUGCGACCUCGAUGUUGGAUUAAAAUGAAUUAUUGGUGCAGGAGCUGAUUAAUUGGGUCUGUUCGACCUUUGAAAUUUUACAUGAUCUGAGUUUAAACCGGCGUGAGCCAGGUUGGUUUCUAUCUUCAUUUAAAAGGAAUUUUUUAGUACGAAAGGACCAAAGAUUCGGUUAAUAAUUUUUUUUAGAAUAGAAUUAA
rnacentral:rRNA from 1 species